UACGUAGGGUGCAAGCGUUUGUCCGGAAUUAUUGGGCGUAAAGAGCUUGUAGGCGGUUUGUCGCGUCUGCUGUGAAAUUUCGGGGCUCAACCCCGAACUUGCAGUGGGUACGGGCAGACUAGAUGUGUGAGGGGAGACUGGAAUUCCUGGUGUAGCGGUGAAAUGCGCAGAUAUCGGGAGGAACACCGGUGGCGAAGGCGGCGACCUGGGUAGAUACUGACGCUGAGGCGCGAAAGCGUGGGGAGCAAACAGG
rnacentral:rRNA from 1 species